CUGGCCCUGAAUCAAGGCCGGCAGCUUCCUGACGCUGUUGGCUUCAAGCAGGAGCCUAAAGAGAUGUCUUUCUCUCUAAAGAGAUGGUCUGUUGGCCAUUUCAGAACUUGGGCAGUGAAAUGGUCAAUCCAUUAGAAAGCAAUGGCU
ensembl:snoRNA